rnacentral:rRNA from 1 species
GCCUACGGCCAUACCACCCUGAGAACGCCCGAUCUCGUCUGAUCUCGGAAGCUACGCAGGGUCGGGCCUGAUUAGUACUCGGAUGGGAGACUGCCUGGGAAUACCAGGUGCUGUAAGCU